rnacentral:rRNA from 1 species
GGGUUGUGAGGUUAAGCGAAUAAGCGUACACGGUGGAUGCCUAGGCAAUCAGAGGCGAUGAAGGACGUGCUAAUCUGCGAAAAGCGUCGGUAAGGUGAUAUGAACCGUUAUACCCGACGAUAUCCGAAUGGGGAAACCCAGUAUCCAAUGGAUACUAUCAUUAACUGAAUCCAUAGGUUAAUGAGGCGAACCGGGAGAACUGAAACAUCUCAGUACCCCGAGGAAAAGAAAUCAACCGAGAUUCCCCUAGUAGCGGCGAGCGAACGGGGAGCAGCCCAGAGUCUUAAUCAAUAACAGUGUCAGGAGAACGGUCUGGAAAGUCCGGCAGUAAAGGGUGAUAGCCCCGUAUCUGAAGAUGCUGUUAUUGUGAACUCGACGAGUAGGGCGGGACACGUGUUAUCCUGUCUGAAUAUGGGGGGACCAUCCUCCAAGGCUAAAUACUCCUGAUUGACCGAUAGUGAACCAGUACCGUGAGGGAAAGGCGAAAAGAACCCCGGCGAGGGGAGUGAAAAAGAACCUGAAACCGUGUACGUACAAGCAGUAGGAGCCUCUUUAUGGGGUGACUGCGUACCUUUUGUAUAAUGGGUCAGCGACUUAUAUUCUGUAGCAAGGUUAACCGUAUAGGGGAGCCGUAGGGAAACCGAGUCUUAACUGGGCGAAUGAGUUGCAGGGUAUAGACCCGAAACCCGGUGAUCUAUCCAUGGGCAGGUUGAAGGUUGGGUAACACUAACUGGAGGACCGAACCGACUAAUGUUGAAAAAUUAGCGGAUGACUUGUGGAUGGGGGUGAAAGGCCAAUCAAACCGGGAGAUAGCUGGUUCUCCCCGAAAGCUAUUUAGGUAGCGCCUCGUGAACUCAUCUUCGGGGGUAGAGCACUGUUUCGACUAGGGGGUCAUCCCGACUUACCAACUCGAUGCAAACUGCGAAUACCGAAGAAUGUUAUCACGGGAGACACACGGCGGGUGCUAACGUCCGUCGUGAAGAGGGAAACAACCCAGACCGCCAGCUAAGGUCCCAAAGUCAUGGUUAAGUGGGAAACGAAGUGGGAAGGCUCAGACAGCCAGGAUGUUGGCUUAGAAGCAGCCAUCAUUUAAAGAAAGCGUAAUAGCUCACUGGUCGAGUCGGCCCGCGCGGAAGAUGUAACGGGGCUAAACCAUGCACCGAAGCUGCGGCAGCGACACAUAGUGUUGUUGGGUAGGGGAGCGUUCUGUAAGCCUGCGAAGGUGUACUGUGAGGUAUGCUGGAGGUAUCAGAAGUGCGAAUGCUGACAUAAGUAACGAUAAUGCGGGUGAAAAACCCGCACGCCGGAAGACCAAGGGUUCCUGUCCAACGUUAAUCGGGGCAGGGUGAGUCGACCCCUAAGGCGAGGCUGAAAAGCGUAGUCGAUGGGAAACGGGUUAAUAUUCCCGUACUGGUGGUAACUGCGAUGGGGGAACGGAGAAGGCUAGGUUGUCCGGGCGACGGUCGUCCCGGUUCAAGCAGGUAGGCAGAGUGAUUAGGCAAAUCCGGUCACUUAAUGCUGAGAUGUGAUGACGAACCACCAAGGUGGUGAAGCAAUUGAUGCCCCGCUUCCAGGAAAAGCCUCUAAGCUUCAGGUUACCAACAAUCGUACCCCAAACCGACACAGGUGGUCAGGUAGAGAAUACUCAGGCGCUUGAGAGAACUCGGGUGAAGGAACUAGGCAAAAUGGUGCCGUAACUUCGGGAGAAGGCACGCUGGCGGUAGGUAAAGUCCCUCGCGGACGGCGCUGAAGCCAGUCGAAGAUACCAGCUGGCUGCAACUGUUUAUUAAAAACACAGCACUGUGCAAACACGAAAGUGGACGUAUACGGUGUGACGCCUGCCCGGUGCUGGAAGGUUAAUUGAUGGGGUUAGCGCAAGCGAAGCUCCUGAUCGAAGCCCCAGUAAACGGCGGCCGUAACUAUAACGGUCCUAAGGUAGCGAAAUUCCUUGUCGGGUAAGUUCCGACCUGCACGAAUGGCGUAAUGAUGGCCAGGCUGUCUCCACCCGAGACUCAGUGAAAUUGAACUCGCUGUGAAGAUGCAGUGUACCCGCGGCAAGACGGAAAGACCCCGUGAACCUUUACUAUAGCUUGACACUGAACAUUGAGCCUUGAUGUGUAGGAUAGGUGGGAGGCUUUGAAGUGUGGACGCCAGUCUGCAUGGAGCCAACCUUGAAAUACCACCCUUUAACGUUUGAUGUUCUAACCUAGGCCCAUAAACUGGGUCGGGGACCGUGUCUGGUGGGUAGUUUGACUGGGGCGGUCUCCUCCUAAAGAGUAACGGAGGAGCACGAAGGUUGGCUAAGCAUGGUCGGACAUCAUGCGGUUAGUGCAAAGGCAUAAGCCAGCUUGACUGCGAGAGUGACGGCUCGAGCAGGUACGAAAGUAGGUCUUAGUGAUCCGGUGGUUCUGAAUGGAAGGGCCAUCGCUCAACGGAUAAAAGGUACUCCGGGGAUAACAGGCUGAUACCGCCCAAGAGUUCAUAUCGACGGCGGUGUUUGGCACCUCGAUGUCGGCUCAUCACAUCCUGGGGCUGAAGUAGGUCCCAAGGGUAUGGCUGUUCGCCAUUUAAAGUGGUACGCGAGCUGGGUUUAGAACGUCGUGAGACAGUUCGGUCCCUAUCUGCCGUGGGCGUUGGAAGAUUGAGAGGGGUUGCUCCUAGUACGAGAGGACCGGAGUGAACGCACCACUGGUGUUCGGGUUGUCAUGCCAAUGGCAUUGCCCGGUAGCUAAGUGCGGAAGAGAUAACCGCUGAAAGCAUCUAAGCGGGAAACUUGCCUCGAGAUGAGUCUUCCCUGUCGCUUUAAGCGACCUAAAGGAACGUUUAAGACUAAGACGUUGAUAGGCUGGGUGUGUAAGCGUAGCGAUACGUUGAGCUAACCAGUACUAAUGAACCGUGAGGCUUAACCUGACAACACCGAAAGUGUUUUG